rnacentral:misc_RNA from 1 species
AAGUCGUAACAAGGUAACCGUAGGUGAACCUGCGGUUGGAUCAUUACUAAAUGAUGGUUUAUAGGCUUGAGCUGAAUUUUUCUGCUCGUCUAUAAGCUUUUUCAACCCUUUGUGAAAAGUGACUGUUGUUUGGGUUGCUUUCGAAAGAGAGUUUAACCCAAAACAUUAAAACCAAUUUUAUUUUUUUAGCCUGAUUUCUAAGUUAAAAUUUUUAACAACUUUUGACAACGGAUCUCUUGGCUCUC